rnacentral:rRNA from 1 species
GACGAACGCUGGCGGCGUGCUUAACACAUGCAAGUCGAACGGAAAGGCCCUGCUUUUGUGGGGUGCUCGAGUGGCGAACGGGUGAGUAACACGUGAGUAACCUGCCCUUGACUUUGGGAUAACUUCAGGAAACUGGGGCUAAUACCGGAUAGGAGCUCCUGCUGCAUGGUGGGGGUUGGAAAGUUUCGGCGGUUGGGGAUGGACUCGCGGCUUAUCAGCUUGUUUGUGGGGUAGUGGCUUACCAAGGCUUUGACGGGUAGCCGGCCUGAGAGGGUGACCGGCCACAUUGGGACUGAGAUACGGCCCAGACUCCUACGGGAGGCAGCAGUGGGGAAUAUUGCACAAUGGGCGGAAGCCUGAUGCAGCAACGCCGCGUGCGGGAUGACGGCCUUCGGGUUGUAAACCGCUUUCGCCUGUGACGAAGAGUGAGUGACGGUAAUGGGUAAAGAAGCACCGGCUAACUACGUG